ACCGACGCCACCACCGCCGCCAUGCUCUAAAUCCCGUGCAAGAGAAGAGCGAGGGAAAUUGUGAUUAAUUCUCAUUUUAAUUAUUCGUAUUUGACUAGUGUUUUCAUUACAAAAUGGGAAGAAAGAAAAAGAAGGUUAUGAAGCCAUGGUGUUGGUAUUGCAACCGAGAUUUUGACGAUGAGAAGAUUCUUAUACAGCACCAGAAAGCAAAGCAUUUUAAAUGUCACAUCUGUCAUAAAAAACUGUACACUGGUCCAGGUUUACAAAUCCAUUGCAUGCAGGUUCAUAAAGAAAAUAUUGACAAAGUUCCAAACGCUGUUCCAGGGAGGCAUGAUAUUGAAAUCGAGAUUUAUGGAAUGGAAGGGAUACCAGAGGCGGACUUGAAGAGUCAUCAAGAAAAAGUAGCUGGUGAUGAAAAAAAGAAAGAAGAGAAGAAAAAUUCUCAGGAACCAAGUACCUCGCAGCUUACCAUUCCUGUGUCUGCAAUGGCAACGAUGGCAAAAAUGCCAGGAAUGAUGCCAGGACCAGGUAUGAUGGCUGGCAUGAUGCCAGGACAGAUGCCGAUGCCACCAAUGCCUCCUAUUCCUGGAAUGCCAGGGAUGCCUCCAUUUGGAAUGAUGCCGGGGAUGUCAGUACCUAUGAUGAGACCAAUGCCUCCCAUGAUGCCAAAUAUGACACCCUCCAUGAUGCCUGGUAUGAUGCGUCCACCUGUAAUGGCACCUGCCUCAACCACAGUUAGCAGUACAGCCAACGAGUCCCUUGUACCCCCAACCAUAUCAUCAACCCCAUCCAGUAGCCAAGCCAAACCUUUGUUCCCCAGUGCGGCUGCGACCACUACUAGUAUGCCUAGCACAGGGUUGAUUGGUCCCCAUCAUCCGGUAAGCAAAGCAGUGGGUCCAGUAAUAAGUAAACCAAGUCCUACAGUAAGCGCACAGCCCUCGACAACCACAAUCACCUCAGCUCCCCCCACUGUCAAGACAACAUCCGUUGCGGGUAAGGUGUCCAGCUCAAGCGCAACAAGUAAAAUUAUGCAUCCAGAUGAAGAUAUAUCGUUGGAGGAGAUUAGAUCAUCUCUACAAAAAUAUGCUGCCAAACAAGUAACGAAGCCUGUAAGCCUACCGAAUACGAGCUCACCUAUGAUGAUGCAGCAACGGCCGCAAGGCAUGCCAGGUUUGAUGGGGCAAUCCCCAAUGAGGCCGCAUAGACCCUUGCAACAAGGUGUAGGUGGGGGUGGUGGAAAUGGUGGAGGAGGAGGAGGAGGGGGUAAUAUGGCAAUGGGGAUGCAACAUCAGAUGCAAAUGCACCAAGGUAAUAAUAUGCCAAGGCCGCUUUUAGGCGGCAUGCCUAGUCGGAUGCAGAUGGGUCAGUCGAGGCCAAUGUAUCAACCACCAUCCAUGAUGCAACAGCAACAGCAGCAUCGGAUGCCCACUGGGCCUAGACCACCACUCCUUCAACUACCCCCCGGCAUGAUGAGGCCGGGAAAUAGUAGAGUGUGAAGGCAUACUCAACUGACUCUUUAAAGCGAGUUCAGCAUUUCCCUCAAAGAUACUGUGAUAGUGUGCUUAUCAAUGACCUAAACACAGGCAAGUGAGAUUAUUAUUAAGCCCUGUCCACACUAUCGCAUUUUAUUUGGCAAAAACAUGUGACAUGCCUAAAUAUGGUCAUGGUGACAUCACAUCACGACCAUAUAUAGGCACAUCAUGACUGUAUAUGGGCAUACAAUAGUUUUUUGUCAAAGAAAAGUUAAUAGUGUGGAUAGGGCUUUACGAGUUGUAUUCGCAGUACUUCUCAUCAGUACUGUUGGACUCGAGCAGUCCCCAACAUGAUCAUAACAUCAUGUUUGGCGAAUUCUUCCUCAUCUGUCAUUAAUUGCCUUCAGCUUUGAGGUGAUUUCUUUUGGCAUCGGGUAUUCUGCGUAAUGUAUUCAAUGAAAAUUUAUUUGACAUACAUGCUACACCCAAGUUGAAUGCAAAUCUAAUAAAAUAAUUAAUACUUAAUAGCUCUAUUCCAGUUUCUAAUCCAGGGGUUCCAAGUUUAUGACAAUCAACAUUCCUCUGAAAUCUGGAGUCAAGUGAGGGGGAAAGGUAAAAUUUUAGGCAGGGGAAAUGUGUUUGAUUGCUGGUAUAGACAGUGAUAAGCGCACUCACCGAAUAAGCGAAUGGCCUGCGUCAACUUCACUAGAGCGAUUGAUAUGAUUGGGUGGGGGAGAUAAAUUUUCUGGGUGACAAAUCUCCCCUUCGGAAACUAACCAUCUCCCGCAAAUUCAGAAUGUUUGCAUGAUUUACUACAGUAUUAUAUUCUCCCUGAUGCUAGCUGCCAUGGUUAUGUGUUAAAGGCUCAUUAACCAGAUCAUCUGCAAGUGGCUUCUUCCACCUGUGAACACAUGUGCUUAUCCAAUGAGUGAGAAAAUCAGGAACAACUGGUUUUAGCUUGCUUGGUUCAUUUAUGCAUGCAUGGAUGCUAUUUUGAAGACCUACAGUACAAAGAACACAUAGUCCAAAGAAAAUGUUUUUUAGGUAUUUAACUGUUGAUCAGAAAAGAGCACCGUAUUGUUAUCCUUCAUACAAAGAAAUAAUUGGAAGAGGAUUACUGUGUACAGCUCUAUCAUUAUUGGAUGGAAGCAGGAGUCUAGACUUCAUGAUAGAUCCAGGUAUCAGAAUUUAAGCAAAUUCGAAUAUAAUUAUAUUAAUUUAAAUAUUUGGAGAAAAAAAUAUUUGGUUGCAUAAUGUAUAUAUUUAAAGUUACAGUAUUAGCUUUAGUUUUCUUCACUAAUUAACAGCAGAAUAAAUAGAAGUUUGGUAUUUAACGAAAUCUGUAGAUCUGUGGAAUUUGAUAACCUUAUUAAGUAUAGAUCUCCCUCCAAUUAAAGACCAAUUUUAGGACUGGGAUUUCCACGGUCUUUAGCAGCUUUGGUCUCUAAAAUAGUAAAGAUAAGACAUUUGUUAAUUUGGGACCACAAAAAAGUGGUCUUUAAUCGGAGUGAGACCUGCAUUAAUUUAUAGGUGUAUUUUAGAUUAAUUAAUCACAAACAUAGUUUGUAUACAUUUGGAAAGUUAUGGGAAUUCAAUUGAGUGUUUUCCCAGAACCUCCAGUUGAGGAAAAUUACUUUGGCUAAAGAAAAGUUAUAGGAAUAUUUUUGAAAUGUAAUAAGUGAAAUAAGUUAUGGUAUACCGUACUUAAGCCAUAAAAAACUCUUGUUGGUCUGGUUUUGGAAAUUCAGAUGGAUGGGUCUUAAAACGUACUGAUGUAUUAUGAGGGCUUAAUGACAUAGACUAUAUUAUCGCCUUGUAAUUUGAUAGCGAUUUUUUUAAAAUAAACAUUAGUACAAAAUGUAA